UCCUUUUUUUCUCCCCUAACCCUAGCCGCCGCAGCUCCUUCUCCUUUCUAUAUAGGACCAUUGCCACCUCCGAUUGAAAAACCGAUGCCAUAUUCGUUCUCUUCAUCUCUCAACCCUCCUAAUGAACCGAAUCAAAUUUUGUUUCGGUGACUUGUCGUUGACCCAGAUUAUGGGUUGUGGUUUUGAUUUCAUUGAUACACUCUCUUUGUAUUCUCACCAUGAAAUUCAAUUUUUGUCACAGGUUUGGAAUGGAGAAGGGUUCUCUUAGGGUUUUGAAGGCUUGGUACUCUCCUAUCUCAAAUGUUUUUAUCUAUGAAAUGUGCAACAGUAAUUCCACGGCUGGAUUUUAAUAUUGAAGGUCUUCUUGCUAAAGAUGUAAGUUGUUCAUCUAUUUGCAUACCAGUUAGGAAAAAAAGCUUAAGAUCUGCAACUCUGUCUAACAUUGCGUUAUUGUAUUAUGAAUUUUACUCUGUUACAUCAAUCUUAGCCAGGGCUAAUUCAGGCAGUUAUUCCAAACAUGACAAAUCCGUCCGAUAUCCUCCGUAGAGCUAUGCAUCCACAAUUGAGUGGAGGGUUCAAGGAGCCAAAUCAGAUGCAUGAUAUGUGGGAGUAUGAGCUUCACAAUGUUAUACAAAUGAGCUUUGCAACAACUGCUCCCACAAGUGUAGCACAUAAUUGCAGGUUGAUUUAUUGAUUGGUAAAGGGAAGGGAAGACCACACUGCCAUCUCUGCGGUAGGAAUAGGAGGGCAAG